ACGAACGCUGGCGGCAUGCCUAACACCUGCCAGUCGCACGAGACCUUCGGGUCUGGUGGCGCACGGGUGCGUAACGCGUGGGAACCUGCCCUUAGGUUCGGAAUAACUCCCCGAAAGGGGUGCUAAUACCGGAUAAUGUCUUCGGACCAAAGAUUUAUCGCCUUUGGAUGGGCCCGCGUUGGAUUAGCUAGUUGGUAGGGUAAAAGCCUACCAAGGCGACGAUCCAUAGCUGGUCUGAGAGGAUGAUCAGCCACACUGGGACUGAGACACGGCCCAGACUCCUACGGGAGGCAGCAGUGGGGAAUAUUGGACAAUGGGCGAAAGCCUGAUCCAGCAAUGCCGCGUGAGUGAUGAAGGCCUUAGGGUUGUAAAGCUCUUUUACCCGGGAUGAUAAUGACAGUACCGGGAGAAUAAGCUCCGGCUAACUCCGUG
rnacentral:rRNA from 1 species